AGACCGAUAGCGAACAAGUACCGUGAGGGAAAGAUGAAAAGCACUUUGGAAAGAGAGUUAACAGUACGUGAAAUUGUUGGAAGGGAAACGCUUGAAGUCAGACUUGCUUGCCGGAGCUUGCUUCGGUUUGCAGGCCAGCAUCAGUUUUCCGGGGUGGAUAAUGGUGGUUUGAAGGUAGCAGCCUCGGCUGUGUUAUAGCUUUCCACUGGAUACAUCCUGGGGGACUGAGGAACGCAGCGUGCUUUUUGCGAAGGUUUCGACCUUUUCACGCUUAGGAUGCUGGUGUAAUGACUUUAAACGACCCGUCUUGAAACACGGACCAAG
rnacentral:rRNA from 1 species